rnacentral:SRP_RNA from 2 species
UGUUGGUUCUCCCGCAACGCUACUCUGUUUACCAGGUCAGGUCCGGAAGGAAGCAGCCAAGGCAGAUGACACGUGUGCCGGGAUGUAGCUGGCAGGG